rnacentral:rRNA from 1 species
UUUGCCUACGGGGGGCAGCAGUGAGGAAUAUUGGUCAAUGGACGGAAGUCUGAACCAGCCAUGCCGCGUGCAGGAAGACGGCUCUAUGAGUUGUAAACUGCUUUUGUACAAGGGUAAACCUGAAUACGUGUAUUCAGCUGAAAGUACUGUACGAAUAAGGAUCGGCUAACUCCGUGCCAGCAGCCGCGGUAAUACGGAGGAUGCGAGCGUUAUCCGGAUUUAUUGGGUUUAAAGGGUGCGUAGGCGGCAUUAUAAGUUAGUGGUAAAAUAUUGGGGCUUCACCUCACUACGCCAUUAAUACUGUA